rnacentral:lncRNA from 1 species
CAGUUUCUAGAGGGAAACUGUACUACCUGCCUGACACCCACCAAGAUACUGAGAUAGUCUCAGCAAAGCAUCCCUGGGCCCCUUCCUGUGGAGGUAGCAAUACACGAGAAGCACUUCCUGGUGAAUAUAGAGCUGCUUGAGUCAGAGUCAAACCUUUUUGGAGGAGGGGAAAUCUUGGAUUGAGAGCGUGACUGACACAGGCACCCAUCCUUGUCUCUGCUCCAGAUUACAGGAAUCUCUGG